rnacentral:rRNA from 1 species
CCUACGGGUGGCAGCAGUGAGGAAUAUUGGUCAAUGGGCGAGAGCCUGAACCAGCCAAGUCGCGUGAAGGAUGACGGCCCUACGGGUUGUAAACUUCUUUUGUCAGGGGGCAAUAGAGCCCACGUGUGGGCUUAGCGAGAGUACCUGAAGAAAAAGCAUCGGCUAACUCCGUGCCAGCAGCCGCGGUAAUACGGAGGAUGCGAGCGUUACCCGGAUUUAUUGGGUUUAAAGGGUGCGUAGGCGGAAUUUCAAGUCAGCGGUAAAACUGCGGGGCUCAACCCCGACGUGCCGUUGAAACUGGGGUUCUUGAGUGGGCGAGAGGUAUGCGGAAUGCGUGGUGUAGCGGUGAAAUGCAUAGAUAUCGCGCAGAACUCCGAUUGCGAAGGCAGCAUACCGGCGCCCAACUGACGCUGAAGCACGAAAGCGUGGGUAUCGAACAGGAUUAGAUACCCUAGUAGUC